rnacentral:rRNA from 1 species
AUUGAACGCUGGCGGCAUGCUUUACACAUGCAAGUCGAGCGGAGAGAGGUAGCUUGCUACUGAUCUUAGCGGCGGACGGGUGAGUAAUGCUUAGGAAUCUGCCUAUUAGUGGGGGACAACAUUUCGAAAGGAAUGCUAAUACCGCAUACGUCCUACGGGAGAAAGCAGGGGAUCUUCGGACCUUGCGCUAAUAGAUGAGCCUAAGUCGGAUUAGCUAGUUGGUGGGGUAAAGGCCUACCAAGGCGACGAUCUGUAGCGGGUCUGAGAGGAUGAUCCGCCACACUGGGACUGAGACACGGCCCAGACUCCUACGGGAGGCAGCAGUGGGGAAUAUUGGACAAUGGGCGCAAGCCUGAUCCAGCCAUGCCGCGUGUGUGAAGAAGGCCUUAUGGUUGUAAAGCACUUUAAGCGAGGAGGAGGCUACUUUAGAUAAUACCUAGAGAUAGUGGACGUUACUCGCAGAAUAAGCACCGGCUAACUCUGUGCCAGCCGCCGCUGUAAGAC